UACGUAGGGUGCAAGCGUUGUCCGGAAUUAUUGGGCGUAAAGAGCUCGUAGGCGGUUCGUCGCGUCGGCUGUGAAAACCUGAGGCUCAACCUCAGGCCUGCAGUCGAUACGGGCGGACUUGAGUACUGCAGGGGAGACUGGAAUUCCUGGUGUAGCGGUGAAAUGCGCAGAUAUCAGGAGGAACACCGGUGGCGAAGGCGGGGUCUCUGGGCAGUAACUGACGCUGAGGAGCGAAAGCGUGGGGGAGCGAACGG
rnacentral:rRNA from 1 species